rnacentral:rRNA from 1 species
UACGUAGGGGGCAAGCGUUGUCCGGAAUCAUUGGGCGUAAAGAGCGUGUAGGCGGCCCGAUAAGUCCGCUGUGAAAGUCCAGGGCUCAACCCUGGAAUGCCGGUGGAUACUGUCGGGCUCGAAUCCGGAAGAGGUGAGUGGAAUUCCUGGUGUAGCGGUGAAAUGCGCAGAUAUCAGGAGGAACACCAAUGGCGAAGGCAGCUCACUGGGACGGUAUUGACGCUGAGACGCGAAAAGCGUGGGGGAGCGAACAGG